AUUCACUAAUGCAUUAUUUUUCUUGUUGCCAGAGACAGAGAUGGUCACUCUGGAUCUUCAAAUUAUUCCAAACCCCACAACACUGUCCAGCCCAUCACCACUUGAAAGCUGCUCCCCACAGUCCAGUGCAUCAUCACCAGUAGCUACAUCGUCCUCAUCAGACCAGAGCAGCCCUUACCCUACCCCUGACUCCCCGUCUAAUACUGCUCGGUGGAACAGAGCAGGCGGCAGUUGGACGAUGGAUGAUCAGCCUGGAGGGACAUGUCAUUUGUGAGGGCAUCCAACAAGCAUUUGUGACAGGGCUUGCUGCUCUGUUUUCAGUGUACUAUAUCUUCAACCUACACUACCAAGAGGAAGCUGCCUGUACACUUGAAUUCAUUCAAAGGCGAUUUGUUGGAAUCAAUCCAGAAAGAGGAACAAAGGCCGGUCGAGGCAAGAUCAUCUCCAAGAGGACAAGGAGAGUCGUUCUAAAGAAGUCAGUCACAGUUAAUACUGAUGUCUCCACUCUCCUGAAGAAUCUCAUUGACUUCGAGUGGAAUUUCAUUGGCCAGUGAAAGCUCACUACCCAGGUACAGCCACAGUUAUUUCCCAAUGUCUUUUUCUGUUCAUGUAAUGUUGUUCUUUUUCUCUUGGCCAGCAAAUAUGGUAUAAUGUACACAAAAAGGGAACAUGUUCAUUUGUCCCAGGGAAGAAAUGGUAUUGCUGGAUUUGAUCAGUUUAGCCUUUUAAGGUCACCGUGUAACAGUCAGUAGAAUCUGAGCACACCUUGGAUCAGUACUAUUCUUAGAGGGCACAGGGUCUGCUCUUAAUUUAAUUUUGUAUUUAUUGUUUUAUAUUUAUUUUAAGACUCCUUUAAGUUCUAAUUAAUACAGCUUACAUUGAAAUGCUGAAUGUGUACAGUGUAUUCUACUCAGGGAGAUUUUUGAAUUUUUUAUUAAUAGGUUACUCCAUACACUGUAUGACACCUCUUGGUUUCCCACUGUUCAAAUUUUGAUAAUGUUUGAAGAGAAUAUGUGUCUUUCCAUUUUGGUGUUAGAUGAUUGUUGUUGUAAGCACUUUGUCUGAGGGGGCGCUCUUUAUUUGCCAGAAUGAACACUCAAGUCUUUCAUUUUGUUGGCUUUCUAUGAAAGUAGAAAUGUCUUUGCUUCUAUAUUGUUUGUGGGAUUUUUGUUCUUUUCUCAUGCAUCAUUCCCCACAAGUGUAUAAAAAUGUUUAUAACUGUUAUCACAUUUAAUGAAAAAAGGAUAACUGCCAUGUUGUUUUGCACACUGAAAUUUACAACUGAAAC